rnacentral:lncRNA from 1 species
AGGACAUACCUUUUCCUGGUAUUCAAAGUAUUUAUACAGACUGAUAUCUAACUAAAUGAGAGAGUCUAGAUUCAACUCCGAAUUCUGCCUGACUCCAUCUCUGCUCUUUGCACUGCAACCCUGCAAUUCACAUUGUCCCAUGCUUGUAAUAUAAUUUCACUUAGAUUGCAGCUUAGAUCUUAAGAAUAAAAUUGUAUAUUUAGGUAACUAUAAGAACAUGAAGAAAAUUCUAGAAAAAAUUUAAAAUAAUAUCUUAAGAUGUAUAAACUUAGAAAUCUCAGUGUGUGAUAUUUAAAUUGGGAACAGAUGGUACAUAUAUGUUAAUAAGUUUUAAAUACUGCAUACACAGUGUUACUGAAAUUACUAAGGAAAUGUGCCAGAUUAAUCUUUGACUUAUGAGAUAGGAGGAUAAGAGGUCUUAGGAAGUCAAUGAGUAGAAAAGUGAACUAUAGGAAACUCAAACCUUUUAAAACCAGUUUGGAGGACAUACUAAGAAAAAUUUAUGAAACUGUAUUUUAGGAGGAAGCCUACAUUCUGAUUUGAAAAAGAACAUUUGGGUACAAUGCUUGAAGAUCUCGAUGUUUAUCUGCAUUCAAAAAAUGUCCUUAUGUUUUAAAAACAAGUGAUUUAAACAUCGAAAUGCAUAGCUAAAUUAAAUAAGUAAAUGUGAAAAUAAGUAAAUAAGAAAAUAUGAAAAUGGUUCUAUGUUUCCUCUGGGAAAAUGAUUAUUAAUUCUCUAUAAAAGAGGUAAUAACAUGGCCAAAUUCAACCUGUUAUUGAAGCAUUAAGAAAACUAGCAGGUGUGUCAGAAACAGAGGAGAAUGAUUUAAGUGUUAUAUACAGGUAGAUUGUUCCUUUUAUCAAUGAAAAUAAAACCCCAAUGUAUUAUAAUGUCUAAUUUAACAGUAUAUAAGUACUACAUAAAUGACAAAUCAUGAGUAUUUCUAGUCUGUUACUUAACAAAACAAAAGGAUCUAAGUGAAAUUCUUGAAAUACAUACCUCUUGCCAUGGCUUUGGGAAAAAAUAGCAUUUUAAGCCCUACUGAUUAUUAACAAGUUGUGUUUCUUUCAAUUAUGAUAAGAAUAAAGUAUUUUGAGAACAUUUAAGUUACAUGGUAUUAUGUAUGAUCAUGAUAAACAUGCUAUUUUAUUCUCACUUUGCUCCCCUCUUUAUAUUCACUAUUAUUAUUUAGAAUUCCAUGUUAAAAAGCCAACCGUAUCUUAUUGAAGAACCAAUCAUUGACCUUAAACCGGUAAGCCUCAUCCCUAGAUCUCUCCUGGUUCCUCCUCUAUAAGAGAAUGGGAUAUGCAAAGAGCCUAAAUUAGGGUUUCUGUUUCUGCCAAGAUGGGGGAUUUGAUAGCAUCAAAACUCUUCCCAUUAAGGUACAGUUAAAUUUUUCAUAAAAUAAAAUGUGUUGUUACUGGGAGUUUACAAAGUAGGGUGAACCUCUUAAGGACAAGCAAAUAAAUAGAAUUAAGAGCAACAAACAUCUUGAAUAUAAAUGAUAUUAUUUAUAUAAUAGGGGAAUUUAUUUUUGUGCCAGCAGCAAGGUAGGGGGAGCCGACCUGAAACAGUAUUGAAACUUGAUAGCCUUCUUGAUUGAAAUGUAUGAGUUAAAUAAUUUUGCUUUAUGAAUAUAACACAUUUAUAAGACAGAUUUUCCAAGUUUCUUGGAUUUGUCUCUGAGAUCUUUAUUCUCUUCUAUCAGCCUUUUUAUUCUUUGAUAUGACAUUUUGAAGUCAUAUUUUCAUUUGAAGUAUUUUUUCAUGAUUUGCAUCUGCAUAUCCACAAGUAAUACUCAAAGAUACACUCAUGUGAGAUUCUAAUACUCAGUGAUAAUGUGUCCAGUCUCCAAAAUUAAUAUUGACUCUCCUGGGCAAAUCCCUCUGUGUGAUUCAGGAAAGUAUAAUUAACACAGUAAUUUAUUAUGCAGAUAACCAUCUAAAUGCCAAAACCUUUUUUAAUUCAUCUCAUUCCAUCUGACUUUUAAAUCAGAAGAGACAUAUGGCUCUAAAUGUAUACUAAACACCAUAAAAUGAGAACUCCAUAAAAUGAGAAGCAUUCUAUAUCAGAAACAUUUUAACUCUUGUGAAAACAUGUGUCACUGUUGGUGAGGAACCAAAGACAAGGUUAAGAUUUUAACUUUAUUAUUUUGAUCAAUUAGAAUUUUGUUUAAGCAUUGAAUUAGUUCAGAUAUAAUUACUCUCAAAACAUUUUUAGAAUUGGAAAAAGACAGGAAAUACCUCCUGAUAAAUGUCACAGUACUAAUCACGACUCUUCCCUCCCUCGUCCCAUCUUACUGCAGGUGUCGGUCCAUACUGUUAGCUCAGCCUCUGCAGUUUCACACCCAGUUCUGAGUAUGCCUGGUGAUAAGUUAGGCCUGGUAUAUAUCUUGCUUACAGUGAGGCAUCUGGAGGGUCACCAGUGUUCUAAUUUUGGCUAUGUUAAAAUACUCUUAUGACAUUUGUUAAAAUGUUAAGGCUGACUUUAUUCAUGGAAAUCAUUAUGGUUGCUAAGGGGGUUUUGCAGGAGGAGAGAAGAUUGGGUUCAACUCAAAGUUCCUUCCUCAACAGGAAAAAUUAGGAAUUUAUAUUCAUGGAGCAGGUUGUGAGGGUGAGAGUGGCGAGAUUCCCCGAUGGCUGAUAGAUGGAAAGUUACUAAGAGGAAGCAUCAAGGGUGAGCAGGUAUUCUGUCUGACCUGACCUAACAGGAUUCUUCCAAAGGCAGGUCAGAGGGCUCAGACAUUCACUGUUGCACCUGAAAAAAAAAAAAAAGUACAGACUAAAAGUUGAGAAUUAUUUGGGAGUUCCCGUCGUGGCGCAGUGGUUAACGAAUCCGACUAGGAACCAUGAGGUUGCGGGUUCGGUCCCUGCCCUUGCUCAGUGGGUUAACGAUCCGGCGUUGCCGUGAGCUGUGGUGUAGGUUGCAGACGCGGCUCGGAUCCUGCGUUGCUGUGGCUCUGGCGUAGGCCGGUGGCUCCAGCUCCGAUUCGACCCCUAGCCUGGGAACCUCCAUAUGCCGAGGGAGCGGCCCAAGAAAUAGCAACAGCAACAACAACAACAACAA